rnacentral:rRNA from 1 species
GAUGAACGCUGGCGGCGUGCCUAAUACAUGCAAGUCGAGCGAACAGACGAGGAGCUUGCUCCUCUGACGUUAGCGGCGGACGGGUGAGUAACACGUGGAUAACCUACCUAUAAGACUGGGAUAACUUCGGGAAACCGGCGCUAAUACCGUAUAAUAUAUUGAACCGCAUGGUUCAAUAGUGAAAGACGGCUUUGCUGUCACUUAUAGAUGGAUCCGCGCCGCAUUAGCUAGUUGGUAAGGUAACGGCUUACCAAGGCAACGAUGCGUAGCCGACCUGAGAGGGUGAUCGGCCACACUGGAGCUGAGACACGGUCCAGGCGCCUACGGUAGGCAGCAGUAGGGAAUCUUCCGCAGUGGGCGAAAGCCUGACGGAGCAACGCCGCGUGAGUGAUGAAGGUCUUCGGAUCGUAAAACUCUGUUAUUAGGGAAGAACAAAUGUGUAAGUAACUAUGCACGUCUUGACGGUACCUGAUCAGAAAGCCACGGCUAACUACGUG